rnacentral:rRNA from 1 species
CGCGGCCUAUCAGCUUGUUGGUGGGGUAAUGGCCUACCAAGGCGACGACGGGUAGCCGGCCUGAGAGGGCGACCGGCCACACUGGGACUGAGACACGGCCCAGACUCCUACGGGAGGCAGCAGUGGGGAAUAGUGCACAAUGGGCGGAAGCCUGAUGCAGCGACGCCGCGUGAGGGAAGACGGCCUUCGGGUUGUAAACCUCUUUCAGCUCCGACGAAGUGAAAGUGACGGUAGGGGCAGAAGAAGCGCCGGCCAACUACGUGCCAGCAGCCGCGGUAAGACGUAGGGCGCGAGCGUUGUCCGGAUUUAUUGGGCGUAAAGAGCUCGUAGGCGGCUUGUCGCGUCGACUGUGAAAACCCGUGGCUCAACCAUGUGGUCUGCAGUCGAUACGGGCAGGCUAGAAUUCGGUAGGGGAGACUGGAAUUCCUGGUGUAGCGGUGAAAUGCGCAGAUAUCAGGAGGAACACCGGUGGCGAAGGCGGGUCUCUGGGCCGAUAUUGACGCUGAGGAGCGAAAGCGUGGGGAGCGAACAGGAUUAGAUACCCUGGUAGUCCACGCUGUAAACGUUGGGCGCUAGGUGUGGGGGGCCUCUCCGGUCCUCUGUGCCGCAGCUAACGCAUUAAGCGCCCCGCCUGGGGAGUACGG